UUAAAAAUCUUCAUAUGACUGUUUGUUUUGAAAGGUACCACUGAACCACCAAUUGACACAACAACCAGAGCUUCAAACAAUGAAGUGACAUCACCUGAAGGGAAUUCAGGCUCUACUGGAACUUCAGGUCCCAUCACCUCCACAGCUAAAAGUGCAGGCACCACAGGAGGACUGAGCCCCAGCAUUACCAGUCCUGGUGGUACAUCAGGAGGCACGAGAAGCCCUAGUACAACACCACCUAUUGGGGAGGAGGGCACCACAGCCAGCAAACCCAGCACUGGAGCUACAAGCCCAGGAACUUCAGGUACAACAGGAGGGUCUCUGGUAACAACCUCAGGAGCAGGCAGGGUCAAUCCAACUGGACAAUCCAGCACUGGGGCCACCAGCCCUGGAAGCCCAACAGCAACAGGAGGAGGAGCUGAUGCAACCACCACUGUCUCUGCUGGUGAGAACACAUCUGGAACCACAGGCACCCCUGGAGCAUCAUCUGGAGCAACCCCUGAAGCUCAAGGUGGUAGCACACCUAGAGAGGCAGGGACUGCAACCACUGGUUCAGGUACCAUUGAACCAUCAGUUGACACAACAACCAGAGCCUCAAAGAAUGAAGCGACAUCACCUGAAGGGCAUUCAGCUUCUACUGGUACUUCAGUUUCCAUCACCUCCACAGCUAGAACUACAGGCACCACACCAGGACUGAGCUCCAGUUUCACCAGUCUUGGGGUCACAUCAGGUACUACUGGACCUUCAGUGGAUAAAACAACCAGAACCCCCAGCAGUGAAGUGACAUCACCUGAAGGGCACUCAGGCUCUACUGGAACUUCAGUUCCCAUCACCUCCACAGCUGGAAGUGCAGGAACCACAGCCCAAUCGAGCCCCAGCUUUACCAGUCCUGGGGACACAUCAGAGACAGCUGGAGUGUCACCAGGUGGGACUGCCACAACUAACAAUGGGAAUACAAGUGAGGCAGCCUUCCGAGAUGUUGGAACAGGAGGCCCUACUGCACCAACACCUAGCAAAGAGGAGGGCAGCACAUCCAGAGAACCCAGCACUGGAUCAACGAGCCCAGGAAGUUCAACAACGAGAGGAGGAACUGACACAGCCACCACUGUCUCUGCUGGUGAAAACACAUCUGGAAGGACAGUAACAACAGGAGGAAAAAAUAUAAUCUCCACUACUGCUGGUGACAACACUUCUGGAACAUCAGGUAGGCAAAAAGCAAUAUCAGCGUAAAUUCAGACAGAGGAAAUGUGGUUUC
ensembl:lincRNA